ensembl:lncRNA
AUGUUUCCAUGGCGCCUCCCCAUCGCCGUGCUCCUGGGCCUGGCGUGGUGUUUUUCUGACUGCGUCCGCGCUGUCGCGCAGUAUUUUCUCUGUUUCCUCUUUUGCUUCACGGCGCCGCUGCUGGUGGCGAGCAGCAGCCGCGACGGCAGCACCCAGACGGAUGGAGAGGCCAAGGAAAGCCCGCCGAGGGAAUCUGUCGAGGAGGAGCUGUCGGGCGACGUGACUGAUGGAGAGAAGUGUGGGCAGGCGGAACCUCUGGGCUCCAAGUACCCACACGUCUUCAAGUCCCUGCAGCAAGUCUUUGAGUGCGCCUACGCUCAGCUCGUCCUGCCUUGGUACAGCGUCCCGGAGCCCCGCGAGGCCCAGCCGCUGCACCGGGUGCUCAGCAGGGAGGUGGACGUGGUGAUCGACCGCAUCAUCGAGAGAGCGCGACACUUUGACGUGUGCCAGGCGGUCGUGGGUUCCAUUCGCAUUCUGACGCAACAUUUGCAUAAUGCAAAGCAGCCUGACAGAGAACUCUUGUUCACUUCCAGAACUGAAGAGAUUACAGUUCUUAGAGAGUUUUCUGAUGCUCUGGUACGUAACCUUUUCUCCAAAUCUCUGUGGAGCCAUGAAGUCCACCGCUGUGCCUUGAAUGAAAUAGUUGCUACAAAGGGUUUGGGCUUAAUAGUGAGGUGGCUCUCAGACCCCGACAACCUGAACCAGCUGGUGGUCAGCCAGCUGGACAGAGUGACCCCCAAAAGCUCAGUGGAGGACCUGUGUGGGUCCGAUCUGGAUUUGACCUCUCUGGCGUCGCAGGAGGGCGACGGCAGUGAAGUGAGCUUUGAGGAAUCAGGUUUAUCAACCAGCACCAAGACCAAGACCAAAACUAGAGGAAACUCCAUCCUUCUCAACAUAUUCGAUGCCAUUCUGAAACCCGUCAUGCCCAUCCUGAAAAAGAAAGUGAACUCCUUCCUGGACAAGAUGAACCCCACCGAAGCGCAGAUGGCCUCUUACAUCGACCUGAUGUGUGGGAAACUGUGGCCGGAGCCUCCUUCAGCGGCAGCUGCUGCCCCUCGCACCGAGGAGGAGAAGAGCGAGAGCAGGGAGAGAGCUCACGGUCUCAUCAGUGCCAGAUAUUCCAACUACAUCAUCCUGAAGAAGACGGAUAUGGAAACUGUUUUUAACAUCUUCCAAAACUGUGAGGAGAAUAAAACACUGGUGUAUAUGCUCCUGUCAUUCCUGUUGAGGGAACUAUUUCCUGAUGAACACUCCCUGAAUCUGAGCGCGGCUGCCCUUCAGAAGGGAACCAGCUGCACACACUGACCUGUGAAGUCAUCACGACGCAUUUUAAUGCCACUCUUUAGAAACAUUUUAGUGUAUUUAUCAGACAUCUCAACUAUCUGUGACCACUUCUAAAUCAUUGCCACGUAUUUUAUAUCUAUCUAUAUAUUUUUUAAACUUAGACAUACUGUGAACGUUUUAUUUUCCAUUUCAUGUGUGAAGUCAAACAUUCCUGCUGUUGCUCUCGUGCCUGGUUGUUUUUAUAAAGCAUCUCAUAUUUACAUUUCUCACGUCACAUUUUCAUGUAUAGAAUUUCUACAUUUUAUAAUGUUUUUCCCCACUCUGAGCACUUGGGGGGGUUGUUUUCUUUAGCUUUUUUAAAAAUACAAAUAUUUACAGAAAUCUCACCAAAUCACCUGAAAUGUGGACUUGAUGUCAGAAGAAACUUGAAAUUGUUUUAUAAAUGAAUUCCAAAUAAAAUAUUUUAAGAAAACACUCCAUGUUUAUUUUGCAGUAAAUGUGUUUGUUGUCUUAUUUACUCUGAGGCAAUAUUUGAAUAAAGAUAUGAAGUAAACAAGUUAAUCCUAAAGGGACAUGCUGAAGAGGAAGCACUGAUGAAACCAUUAAAAUAAAAAGUUCUGGAUAUAUAAACAGGUUCUAAUUUUCUGCUGAAAUAAACUGAAAUGAAAUAAAUAUGUUAAAUAAUGCAUAUCCCUGGACCAGUAGGAAUUGGUUUAUAGAAAAUAAGAGCAGCUGUGUUUCUAUAAGUCUUAAUGGAAAUGUCUCUAAUCCCUAUGUUAUCUCAUUAUGGAAGCAAAACAUUAUCUCUCUGCGUGCUUCUUUUAGCAAAGCUGCAGAAUCCCGCAGAACCAAACACGUUACGUGGAGAGGCAGGUCCUGUCAGUGUGAGUGAUGUCUUCAUACUCUCAGUGAAGCAGUGGACUUGAAAGAAAUGUAAAACAAGCAUCAGCAGACAGAGACUUCAGAC